CAGCCGCCGCGGGAAUACGGAGGGUGCAAGCGUUAAUCGGAAUUACUGGGCGUAAAGCGCACGCAGGCGGUCUGUCAAGUCGGAUGUGAAAUCCCCGGGCUCAACCUGGGAACUGCAUCCGAAACUGGCAGGCUAGAGUCUUGUAGAGGGGGGUAGAAUUCCAGGUGUAGCGGUGAAAUGCGUAGAGAUCUGGAGGAAUACCGGUGGCGAAGGCGGCCCCCUGGACAAAGACUGACGCUCAGGUGCGAAAGCGUGGGGAGCAAACAGGAUUAGAUACCCCCUUAGUCCCUGUCUCUUAUAC
rnacentral:rRNA from 1 species